GGGAUAGUGGUUUGUGCAACUAUUGAAGCUUUGGAAAUUAAGUUAGUCCUGCAACUACCCUAUCUGUGCAUGAAUGGGCAGAGAAGCCUAAAUCAUCAUCAUCUUGUUCUUCUUCAAACUGACGUUAAAUUGAGCAUUAGUUCUAAAUCACAGUUCCAUGAUAUAAAGAAAGGCAGAACAGAGAUGUGUAAGCCAUAUUUU
rnacentral:misc_RNA from 1 species